rnacentral:rRNA from 1 species
UGUGGUGGUAAACGGAGGCGUUCUCGAAGUGUCCGUGGGGGACUCAAGCUUGGUGGCGGGCAGCCGGCGCUCCUUGAUCAGCAAUGACUGGGUGUGUCGUGCAGGCUUGCCUCCCGGCCGCACUUUCCCCGCGGUUGACGGCAGGAACUGUUGGGACCGGACCAAAGGCCUGGGAUGAAGUUGCUUGCCCUCACGGGCUUGUAGCUCCCGGUGUCCUGGCUUC